AAAGUCACCCAAAGCCGCCCCAAGUGCAGGCACACAGACCUUGCUGACGGAAGGCAGACCCUCUCCAUCUCACCUGCCCUCCAACUGCCUGAGCUACCCACUCCUCCUUCUCCGGGGGACCCUGCAGCUCCCCGGUGGUGUGCAUUGGAAUGGACUUCGGACCUUGGACUCUUGGGAUGCAAAGGAUGAAGUGACCCCCACCCCCAACUGUGUUUGAGGAAUCUCUAGGACCCCGUGAGGCUGUCACAGUCCCCUGGUGGCUCGAGAACUGCGGGGGCCACCGGGCCUUGGCCCGGCGGGCGAGCAGGCUGGCUGCAGCCAUCCAUCAUUCCCGGCUCCGCGGGGCGGGGGACAGACACAGCACCGUGCGCUUGGCUCCAAACCUGUUUGUUUUCCCUUUGUCUCGCGCGUUUCGGGGGCCAGGCUGCGACCCGCUCCAGUUUUGUCCCGCUGGCCUCCUCCCCAUAGGGAGCACGGGGGAAGGGAGGAGAGUCCCUUGGCUCCCACCGCGGCAUCCCUUUCGGACUUCAAAGGCUCCCCCAGCAUUGUCUGCGCCUGCGGGCAGUGGCCCUGAAAACGUGAUCAGAGGCGGCCCGGUGUAGGGCAGGCCCGGCCCGCGCCCUGCGCUCUCGCUGGGGCCCGUGGAUUCCUCCCUUUGCCGCCAGCACCACCCUGGUUACAGCGCAGCUCCGGGGCGCUCAGUGGCCUUUCUCUCCCCGCGCCCUUUCUGGCUCCCUCUGGUCUCUCCUUCCUGCUCUCUAGCCUCGGCCUCACUUCUGUCUAGGCGCAUUGAGACUCUAGAAAUGGCCAGAGCUGCAUGCAGCCUUACACUCUUUCCUCGCCCGCCUCCUUAAGAAUCUCAACCCCGCCAAAGGGUUUCCCAGGAUGCUGUGAGGCAUAAAUAGGAUUCCCAUGCUAGAUCGGAUUCUCAGUGCACCCCACCCCCCACUCAGCGUGGCACCGGACACAGGAGAACAUGUCUUGCUUCCUCUGGGGACCUCUGUCAGAUUAGGUACAAGGUCCCCAGGAAUCAUCUAAGCAUCCUGAAAGACAGGAUGCUUCCAUUUUCUGGACAAGUCUCGGGCAAACCGCAGUUCCAAGAUCACAUUUGAUCCUCGGCCUGUGUUUUGUAAAUAAAGUUUUAUUG
rnacentral:lncRNA from 1 species